AACGCGAAGAACCUUACCCAGACUUGACAUCGAUCGCAAGCCCUAGAAAUGGGGCCCUCUCUCACAAGGAGACGUGAAGACACUUGUUGCAUGGCUGUCGUCAGCUCGUGCCGUGAGGUGUACGGUUAAGUCCCGCAACGAGCGCAACCCUCGUUCCAUGUUGCCAGCAGGCCUUCGGGUGCUGGGGACUCAUGGGAGACUGCCGGGGUCAACUCGGAGGAAGGUGGGGAUGACGUCAAAUCAUCAUGCCCCUUAUGUCCAGGGCUGCACACAUGCUACAAUGGCCGGUACAGAGGGCUGCGAUACCGCGAGGUGGAGCGAAUCCCAAAAAGCCGGUCUCAGUUCGGAUCGGGGUCUGCAACUCGACCCCGUGAAGUCGGAGUCGCUAGUAAUCGCAGAUCAGCAACGCUGCGGUGAAUACGUUCCCGGGCCUUGUACACACCGAGUAUA
rnacentral:rRNA from 1 species